GAGAUGGUUUAGACUUUAGGGGCUUGGGGCGAUCUGAAAUGCAGUACAAGAUUACAGUACAAUAUUAACCAGUACAAAUGGCAUCUGCAUCAAAGCAUUUUAAUAUUUGGGCCAGCAGCCUUAAUCGACGGUAGCAGUAGUUCAAAAUCUGGCAACUGAGUAAAAUGGUAGUACAAAUCAAUACAAAUCGGUGUACUAUACAUUUGGAUUUAUAAGGCUUAUUUACAGACGUGAUGAACGCACCGAGAUCUCUGGGUCUGUUGCAGUAAGUUGGAGUAUGGAUUUAGGAGACUCCCAGAUUGAGAAACAUCAUUGAGUGCAGCGUUGAUGAAAGUCCUCUUCUUUUUGUGUUGGACAUUUUCGUUAGCGCUGCACCCAAUCAUGUUUCUAUAGGGGAUAUUGAUCCCGGGAGAUCCUAGCUAGGCACCAAGCUUGUUUGGGAAAAGCAAAUCGUUAAAACUGGAAAUAGAUGCCAAUGAGCAAGUCUUCAAGGACAUAGCUGACAAGCAUCAACGGCUUCUCUUCAUUUCAGAACCAAAUUACAGUUUCUCUUCAUUUUCCAGAAGAUGAACGGAUUGGUCAUGAGUCAUGAACUAAGACCACUGCUGCAACCUUUCCCAUGUAUGCAGUAUUUGAAAGUAUUGAACUCAUCAUGCAGGCAGCAUGAUUGCCCCAGUUUUAUAUCAAAACAUAAUACAGUUAACCUU